CGCGUAGGCUGUUAAACAAGUCAGAUGUGAAAUCCCUGAGCUUAACUUAGGAAUUGCAUUCGAUACUGGGAAGCUAGAGUAUGGGAGAGGAUGGUAGAAUUCCAGGUGUAGCGGUGAAAUGCGUAGAGAUCUGGAGGAAUACCGAUGGCGAAGGCAGCCAUCUGGCCUAAUACUGACGCUGAGGUACGAAAGCAUGGGGAGCAAACAGGAUUAGAUACCCGCGUA
rnacentral:rRNA from 1 species